rfam:Arenibacter sp. C-21 DNA, contig: C21_contig0083.
CGACAAGCUGGAUAAGGGCGUAUGGGGAAUGCCUAGGCUCUCAGAGGCGAAGAAGGACGCGAUAAGCUGCGAAAAGCUGCGGGGAUCGGCACAUACGAUAUGAUCCGCAGGUAUCCGAAUGGGGCAACCCACCAUAUUGAAGGUAUGGUAUCCCGUAAGGGAGGCAAACCCGGUGAACUGAAACAUCUAAGUAGCCGGAGGA